rnacentral:rRNA from 1 species
GCAAGUCUGGUGCCAGCAGCCGCGGUAAUUCCAGCUCCAAUAGCGUAUAUUAAAGUUGUUGCAGUUAAAAAGCUCGUAGUUGAAACUUGGGCCUGGCUGGCGGGUCCGCCUCACCGCGUGCACUCGUCCGGCCGGGCCUCUCCUUCUGAAGAACCUCAUGCCCUUCACUGGGCGUGCUGGGAAUCAGGACUUUUACUUUGAAAAAAUUAGAGUGUUCAAAGCAGGCCUUUGCUCGAAUACGUUAGCAUGGAAUAAUAGAAUAGGGCGUGCGUUUCUAUUUUGUUGGUUUCUAGGACCGCCGCAAUGAUUAACAGGAACAGUCGGGGGCAUCAGUAUUCAGUUGUCAGAGGUGAAAUUCUUGGAUUUACUUGAAGACUAACUACUGCGAAAGCAUUUGCCAAGGAUGUUUUCAUUAAUCAGUGAACGAAAGUUAGGGGAUCGAAGACGAUCAGAUACCGUCGUAGUCUUAACCGUAAACUAUGCCGACUAGGGAUCGGGCGAUGUUCUUUUUCUGACACGCUCGGCACCUUACGAGAAAUCAAAGUUUUUGGGUUCUGGGGGGAGUAUGGUCGCAAGG